rnacentral:misc_RNA from 1 species
UUCGCUGACUUUCAGCGGGCGGAAAAGCCUCGGCCUACCGCCGUCCACCGUCCGGGUCUGCAGCCAACAACAAAAAAUGUCAGCCGCUGGCUCGCUCGCCCCUCCCGGGAGCCUGCGGCCGCUCGCCCGCUCGGCCCCCCGCGUCCCGCCCGGAGGCCGCGGCCGGCCCGGGGCUUCUCCGGAGGCGCCCACUGCCGUCGCGAAGAGUUGGGCUCUGUCAGCCGCGGGCCGCCUGGGGGCCGCAGGGCGGGGCUCGGGCCGCAGGGAGAGCAACGGAGCGGGUCCCCGCG